UACGUAGGGGACUAGCGUUGUCCGGAAUUACUGGGCGUAAAGCGCACGUAGUCGGCUUUGCAAGUCGGUUGUGAAAUCCCCGGGCUCAACCUGGGAACUGCAUCCGAGACUGCAUUGCUAGAGUAUGGGAGAGGAAAGCGGAAUUUCUGGUGUAGCAGUGAAAUGCGUAGAUAUCAGAAGGAACAUCAGUGGCGAAGGCGGCUUUCUGGACCAAUACUGACGAUCAGGUGCGAAAGCGUGGGGAGCAAACAGG
rnacentral:rRNA from 1 species